ACGAACGCUGGCGGCGUGCUUCACACAUGCAAGUCGAACGGAAAGGCCCUGCUUUUGUGGGGUGCUCGAGUGGCGAACGGGUGAGUAACACGUGAGUAACCUGCCCUUGACUUUGGGAUAACUUCAGGAAACUGGGGCUAAUACCGGAUAGGAGCUCCUGCUGCAUGGUGGGGGUUGGAAAGUUUCGGCGGUUGGGGAUGGACUCGCGGCUUAUCAGCUUGUUGGUGGGGUAGUGGCUUACCAAGGCUUUGACGGGUAGCCGGCCUGAGAGGGUGACCGGCCACAUUGGGACUGAGAUCCGGCCCAGACUCCUACGGGAGGCAGCAGUGGGGAAUAUUGCACAAUGGGCGGAAGCCUGAUGCAGCAACGCCGCGUGCGGGAUGACGGCCUUCGGGUUGUAAACCGCUUUCGCCUGUGACGAAGCGUGAGUGACGGUAAUGGGUAAAGAAGCACCGGCUAACUACGUG
rnacentral:rRNA from 1 species